GAUGAACGCUGGCGGCGUGCCUAAUACAUGCAAGUCGAGCGAACGGACGAGCAGCUUGCUUCUCUUAUGUUAGCGGCGGACGGGUGAGUAACACGUGUAUAACCUACCUAUAAGACUGGGAUAACUUCGGGAAACCGGAGCUAAUACCGGCUAAUAUUUUGAACCGCAUGGUUCAAAAGUGACAGACGGUCUUGCUGUAACUUGUAGAUGGAUCCGCGCUGCAUUAGCUAGUUGGUAAGGUAACGGCUUACCAAGGCAACGAUGCAUAGCCGACCUGAGAGGGUGAUCGGCCACACUGGAACUGAGACACGGUCCAGACUCCUACGGGAGGCAGCAGUAGGGAAUCUUCCGCAAUGGGCGAAAGCCUGACGGAGCAACGCCGCGUGAGUGAUGAAGGCCUUCGGAUCGUAAAGCUCUGUUAUUAGGGAAGAACAUAUGUGUAAGUAACUGUGCAGAUCUUGACGGUACCUAAUCAGAAAGCAACGGCUAACUACGUG
rnacentral:rRNA from 1 species